rnacentral:rRNA from 1 species
UACGGGGGGAGCAAGCGUUGUUCGGAUUUACUGGGCGUAAAGGGCGCGUAGGCGGUCAGCACAAGUCAGUUGUGAAAUCUCCGGGCUUAACCCGGAAAGGUCAACUGAUACUGUGCGACUAGAGUGCGGAAGGGGCAACUGGAAUUCUCGGUGUAGCGGUGAAAUGCGUAGAUAUCGAGAGGAACACCUGCGGCGAAGGCGGGUCUCUGGGCCGUAACUGACGCUGAGGAGCGAAAGCAUGGGGAGCGAACAGG